ACAUGCAAGUCGAGGGGAACGACAUCGAAAGCUUGCUUUUGAUGGGCGUCGACCGGCGCACGGGUGAGUAACGCGUAUCCAACCUGCCCACCACUUGGGGAUAACCUUGCGAAAGUAAGACUAAUACCCAAUGACGUCUCUAGAAGACAUCUGAAAGAGAUUAAAGAUUUAUCGGUGAUGGAUGGGGAUGCGUCUGAUUAGCUUGUUGGCGGGGUAACGGCCCACCAAGGCGACGAUCAGUAGGGGUUCUGAGAGGAAGGUCCCCCACAUUGGAACUGAGACACGGUCCAAACUCCUACGGGAGGCAGCAGUGAGGAAUAUUGGUCAAUGGGCGAGAGCCUGAACCAGCCAAGUAGCGUGCAGGAUGACGGCCCUAUGGGUUGUAAACUGCUUUUAUAAGGGAAUAAAGUGAGUCUCGUGAGACUUUUUGCAUGUACCUUAUGAAUAAGGACCGGCUAAUUCCGUGCCAGCAGCCGCGGUAAUACGGAAGGUCCGGGCGUUAUCCGGAUUUAUUGGGUUUAAAGGGAGCGUAGGCCGGAGAUUAAGCGUGUUGUGAAAUGUAGACGCUCAACGUCUGCACUGCAGCGCGAACUGGUUUCCUUGAGUACGCACAAAGUGGGCGGAAUUCGUGGUGUAGCGGUGAAAUGCUUAGAUAUCACGAAGAACUCCGAUUGCGAAGGCAGCUCACUGGAGCGCAACUGACGCUGAAGCUCGAAAGUGCGGGUAUCGAACAGGAUUAGAUACCCUGGUAGUCCGCACGGUAAACGAUGGAUGCCCGCUGUUGGUCUGAAUAGGUCAGCGGCCAAGCGAAAGCAUUAAGCAUCCCACCUGGGGAGUACGCCGGCAACGGUGAAACUCAAAGGAAUUGACGGGGGCCCGCACAAGCGGAGGAACAUGUG
rnacentral:rRNA from 1 species